UCAGACAUGGAACAAUUCACUUUAGCUUCAAAGAAUGGAACUCCUUCGUUGAAACGAUUGAUAUAGAGGUUAUCACAAGUUGGUCUUCCAGAAAAAGGGUAGUACAGAUUUAGGGUUUGAGAUAGAGAUUCUUUUAAGUGGGUUAAGGUUUGAAGAGUAGUAGAUAUAUUAUUCAUGGGGUAGAACAAAAUCAGUG